rnacentral:misc_RNA from 1 species
UUUUAACACGUCACUUCAUAAAAUGUCACCUAUGCAAUGAGUAGAGAAUAAUCUUAAUGUUUAGAGCCUAGAUUCUAAGACAAUCACAAUAAAGUAUCAUACAUAAUUCAAAAUAUACGAUAACCGAUACUACACCAUAUGACCAAAACAUAUUUACAAAUUCGAGAUACAUAGACAAGACAUUGUUCACUGAGGAGGAGCAAAUAGCUUUUUAUUACAAGAGGUGGCUACAGAGGAGAAUGGGCUUUAAGUCUGCUCUCGUCUUGGUGGAAUUCGGACGGAGGAUCUUGUCCAAAGUUGAAACAGCUUCCGCAACGUGUUUCCCUUUGUUCAGCAUGACACAGCUUACCCUCCGUCCAUUGGCUGCAUCAGUGAUCUCUGCUCUGGUGGGCAUACCAGAUUUCACAAGCGACUCCAAGACCUGAGUUGCCCAUAUGACUGGUAUGUGUGCAGCGUCACAGAGAGAGAGAAUUUCUUCCUGCAUAUCAGCCAACCUUUCCCACCCACAUUCCACUGCGAGAUCUCCUCUAGCAAUCAUGACCCCCAAGGGAUUUGAGGACUUCAUUGCCUCUAACAGCAUUAAAGGCAAUUUCUCAAACCCACUCUUUGUCUCUAUCUUGAGAACAAUUCCUAGUUUUGGAAGUUUCCUCUUCUCUAAUUCUUGGCGGAGCACAACAAUAUCACGAGUGUCACGGACAAAAGAAACACCUACCAUGUCAGCAUGAGUAGCAACAAAUUCAAGAUCCAUAACAUCCUUGGAAGUAAAUCCCUCAAAGUGAAUAUUGCUCUGUGGGAUGUUAAUGGAUUUCUCAGACCCAAGUUUCGUGCCUUUGGGACCAGCAUGAGUGAUUGAGACAAUAAUCUCGGAUAUACCAAUUCCUUGGAUAACCCCCCAUAUCUUUCCAUCAUCAAAGGCAAUGGGUUCACCAGGUUUCACUGAAUCAAACAGGUACCCUGAGGAACAUGUAACCCUAUGAGCACCACUGGUGGACGCGGACAAUUCAUCUUCUCCGGAAGAACUACCUCGUGAUAUGAUUAACAAAUCUCCAACUCUCAGUCUGAUAGAUCGUUCGGUAGCUGGGACAUCUACCACUUGUCCAACAGGAAACCUGCCUUUCUUUCCCUUCAUAUACAAUCGGGUUCCUGACUGAACAUAAGCAGUCCUACUACACUCAGCCACAUAUCCAGUACCAGAAAAAACAUGAAAUUUUCUAGAAAUCUUGAGUCUCCUUUUUUUCCCUCUAGCAUCACAAAAUCUUAAAGUGUCAUCCACCUCCAGCUUAGUAAGAAAUUCUUGAUCAUCUACAAAUAUUACUGCAUCAAGAGACAAAUGAGGAGGAGGAGGACCUGCUUCUCUGUGAGUCAGCCAAACUUGAGCAGGCAAGAUUACAUUUCCAGCUGCAGUUUUUUUGGGAGAGAAUUUCAUUACAGCUGGACCAGGCUUCAGCUUUCCAGUUCGGAGCUUUGGUCCAGCUAAAUCCAUGAGAAUCCGACAAGGUGUUUCUAGCAUUUGAGAACUUUUCCUUACUCUGGUGAUAAUUUCACUCCAAAUACUAGGAUUUCCAUGUGCACAAUUGAUUCGAAUAAUGGACAUCCCUGCCUUGAUUAGAUCAGUAAUAAAUGUUUCACUUUCAAUAGCUUCCUCGCCAAUUGUUACCAUAAUAUGAGUAGUUCUACUAUCUUGUGGUGGGCCCAACAAUAACUCUCUAUUAAAAUAUGCCUUCUUCCUUAUUGUCUGUAUUGUAAACGCUGAAUACUUCUGUUGGUCAAAUCCUUUCUGAGAAAAUAGUCCUCCAAUGAUAUGUUCUUCAGGGUUUAGGGAGGUAGAUUUCAAGUUCUCCAAUAUUUGAAUGCUUGCAGUAAGACUUGCAAGGACAUGAGAAUUGGCAGUCUCCAAAUUCAUGAGACCAAUCAAAGAAAGAUCAUCUUUAAGCUGCUCAACAUCAAGGCAUCUCAAUGCCAGAUAAUGUAUCAAGUUUGUUGCACUAACCAAGUAAUUUCUGUGACACAAUUGGAGUUGGGAAGCAUUCCAUUGUUCUGAUGCUAAGACAUGCAAUUGGAUAGCCUUUAUUUUGUCAAGAAGGCUUCCUUGUUUUCCCAGAAGCUCAACUGUAUGAGCAAGGUCAGCUUCCGAGUAUGAAAGAGAAGAAACAACUUCUGCAUCUGAAUGAUUGGAAAUCUCAUUGUCUUCCAAAGGCAAAUGCAUUUGAUCAUCAGCACAACCAUAAAAACUGCCACUUUCCAAUUGAUCGCUUUCAUUUGGAAUGGCAAAAGUUAAAGUUCUUAUUGUUGAAUUCCUCCUAUGAACAGCUAAUAAUCGAAUAAUGCAACUUGGAUGCCUUCUUUGAAGUCUGCAUGGCAAGUUUGUAGGCUUGACCUUCAGAUUUGACAAUGCAAAUCCUAAGAAAUCAACUGAUUGAAUCACCAAAUUCUCCUUGAGCUAGUAAGACCCACCACAAUAGAAGUCCAGUAAAUCUUGAAAACAAGGCUGUUAUCUAAAGAAGAUAAAGUUACGUCAAGGAGCAUCUUGAAACAUGUUUGGUAUAGAACAUGUGAAAAUAAGACAUUCAUUUCACAGGCCACUUUAGCAAACAGUUAUAAAAAAUUGCAAAGAAUUACCCAGUCAAAGAUAUUAGCAAAUAUGAUUAUCCAAACAGAGUCAUUAACCACAGAAAACUAUCCAAUAAAUCAUGCUUUUCAGAGAUGCUAAGAAGCAAUUUAUAAUCCAAAUAACAACUAUCAAAGUAUAAAGCGUAUUGCAGAAGAGCGAAUUACAUGGUGUAGUUUCGCGCCCUGAUUUGUGACAGCAGGAACUGAAAGUGAGUUGAGCAUCAUCUACGCCUCUAACAUAAAACAGGCAAAUACAAGACCUAUUUUAUUGUAGGAGAGAGGGUGAGAGAGUAUCUGUAUGGAAAUGUGUUUUCUUCGUUUCGGCUAUGGAUAGAAAGACCAGAAAUAGGGGAGUGUGGAG